rnacentral:rRNA from 1 species
UCUGUAGGCGGUGUGGCAAGUCGGGAGUGAAAUUUCUGGGCUUAACUCAGGGACUGCUUCCGAAACUGCCGUGCUCGAGUGCGAGAGAGGUGAGUGGAAUUGCAGGUGUAGCGGUGAAAUGCGUAGAUAUCUGCAGGAACACCCGUGGCGAAGGCGGCUCACUGGAUCGCAACUGACGCUGAGAGACGAAAGCUAGGGAGCAAACAGGAUUAGAUACCCUGGUAGUCCUAGCCCUAAACCAUCAGGACUUGGGGUGCAUCCCGUUGGGGGUGCGUCCCGGAGCUAACGCGUUAAGUCCUGCGCCUGGGGAGUACGGUCGCAAGACUGAA